GCUUACGGAGUUACCCAAUGGAAUUCAUCGUGGAUGAUGCUAAAAUGGAAGAUCCAUUCUUGGUGUAGAUCCGCACUGCCUCAUACAGUAGCUACUAGCUACAUGUGGCUAUUGAGCACUUGAAAUGUGCCUAGUUCAACACAAAAUUUUCUACAAGAAAGAUCAGUUCCAUGACGCCUGGGAUGGACUGAGUCUUGGAUUAAAGGCUGAGACAACCCUGGUCCUGGAGAUGCAAUUUAUGGAGGCCUUUGAGUGAUUGCUGUAUUGCCGCUAAAGAGGGCCCAAAACUUGGAUAUUGUUUAAAGCCAAAUCAAUAUCCUCUUCAAUGUGAUCUUCAAGCGUGAAAUAGGACACGGGCUUUCACUUAUUUUAUACAAGUAGUACCAGUUUUCUAGGACUUGCUUACCUGGUGACCAAAACCAUGCACUGACAAUAUGACAGGUUGGUGGUACUGGUGACUACUGAGACUAAAACAAACAAUACGUGACUCAAACAGAAUCAAAUUUUUGCCUAUCAGUACCAUGCUCCUUAAGCAAAGGAAGUAUAGUAACUCUACGCCCUCCUUAUAAAGGACCACUGGAAAAUUAUAUAUCUCUUCAGACUUCUUUCUAUGAUUCAGUUUGUUAAUCCCUAUGGCAAAGGACUUAUAUAUUAGAUUGUAAAUAAAUUCUGGAAGAUGACCCAGAAAGACCACUUAGGAAAAGUCACAAGACUUCCCUGCAUAAUAUAAGGUAGAGUAGAAUGUAGAGCUAUGGCAAAUAAGAACAGCAAACUUCUUUAAACAUUUCUACCAAUCAGCAGUUCAUUACAUUGUAAACAGCCCAUACAGAACAGUUUAUAAAGAAUUUUGCAUGAAACAGAUGCUUAAAUUAGAAGACCUAUAAAUUAUGUGGCUGUUAUAAACUUUACUCAAAGUGGAACCAUCAAUAUACCUUGAUAAGGCUGAUAAGACUUUAGAUAAAUUAUGACUCAUCACUAAAAUUAUACUUUAAGUACUAUCAUCACAAAUAUAUACAUUAUUUAAACAUGAAGGUCAUGGGGAAAGGUGUGGUAAGAGUAACUGAAUUUCCAGCGCUAUGCUGUGUACUUCCAAAUCAUCUCAUUUAACUGGUAAAUUUUCCUGUGAUGUUAACAUUACUAUGUGAGUUGAGAAAACAGUAAAUAAUAGCCGUUAAGUGACUCUAUUAUAAAGUCAGCAUACAAAUCCUCAUGUGCUUGAAUAUACCAGUUUGUGAAACGUGGUAAUGGCCAACAGCUAAAUUCAGAAAAAAAUUCAAUACAGUUGGAGUUUCCAAAGUUGGCUACAACAGUAUGUGCCAUCCCAUUUUCUCUUUUAUAGUGUGAUUUCCUGUGCCAAGAAAUAAAACCAAUUUGCCCUCCUCUUGA